rnacentral:rRNA from 1 species
AGCGAACGCUGGCGGCAUGCUUAACACAUGCAAGUCGCACGGAUCUUCCGGGAUCAGUGGCGGACGGGUGUGUCACGCGUCGGGAUCUAUCCAUGGGUGGGGGACAACUCCGGGACACUGGAGCUAAUACAGCAUGAUACCUGAGGGUCAAAGGUGCAAGUCGCCUGUGGAGGCACCUGCGUUCGAUUAGCUAGUGGGUGGGGUAAACGCCUACCACGGCGAUGAUCGAUAGCUGGUAUGGGAGACAGAGCCGACACACCGAGACUGAGCCACAGCGCAGAAUCCUACGGGAUGGAGCAGAGGGUGAUAUAGGACAACGGGCGAAAGGCUGAACGAGCUAGGGCUCGUGUGUCAAUAUGGUCGGCGGAUAGUAAAGCAGUUUCGAACGGGGCGAUUAUGACGGUACCCGUAGAAGAAGCCCCGGCUAACUUCGUG